rnacentral:rRNA from 1 species
UACGGGGGGAGCAAGCGUUGUUCGGAUUUACUGGGCGUAAAGGGCGCGUAGGCGGCGUGGCAAGUCACUUGUGAAAUCUCCGGGCUUAACUCGGAACGGUCAAGUGAUACUGAUCGACUGGAAGGCAGGAGAGGGUAGUGGAAUUCCCGGUGUAGUGGUGAAAUGCGUAGAUAUUGGGAGGAACACCGGUGGCGAAGGCGGCUACCUGGACCGGUACUGACGCUGAGGCGCGAAAGCUAGGGUAGCAAACAGG